rnacentral:rRNA from 1 species
UACGUAGGGGGCAAGCGUUGUCCGGAAUUAUUGGGCGUAAAGGGCGCGUAGGCGGAUAUUUAAGUCCGAUGUGAAAGAUCAGGGCUCAACCCUGAGAGUGCAUCGGAAACUGGGUAUCUUGAGGACAGGAGAGGAAAGUGGAAUUCCACGUGUAGCGGUGAAAUGCGUAGAUAUCGGGAGGAACACCAGUGGCGAAGGCGGCUUCCUGGCCUGUUCUUGACGCUGAGGCGCGAAAGCUAGGGGAGCAAACGGG